AUGUGUCAAGAAGAUCAACGUAUUGAGAAAUAUGGAAGUGACAAUAAUUUCGUGGUGAUCAACCAGAAGGACAUUGAUCCUCCACCCCUCGAUCUCCAAGCUAGAGCAGGGUUUGAGUCCUUAUCUUUGUUCAGUGUGGCAGUGCAAGAUCAUACGGAAACCAGAGUUCCUAUGGUAGGCUCAGUCUGGCAGGCUCUGAUUUUUUUUACAUGGAUCGGGAUAUUAUAA
rnacentral:rRNA from 1 species